UACGUAGGGGGCAAGCGUUAUCCGGAAUUACUGGGUGUGAAGGGAGCGUAGACGGUAAUGUAAGUCUGGAGUGAAAGGCGGGGGCCCAACCCCCGGACUGCUCUGGAAACUAUGUUACUAGAGUGCAGGAGAGGUAAGCGGAAUUCCUAGCGUAGCGGUGAAAUGCGUAGAUAUUAGGAGGAACACCAGUGGCGAAGGCGGCUUACUGGACUGUAACUGACGUUGAGGCUCGAAAGCGUGGGGAGCAAACAGG
rnacentral:rRNA from 1 species